GUAAGUUAUUUAAUGAGCCCUCGUGUCAGAGAAAGAACGCUCUGGGAAAACCCUUUCUGACCUUCCUUACCGCUCACCUUGACUGGGGCGCCUGCCACGUCAGUCACUCUUCUGAUCAAGAACGGCAGGAGGCUCGUGAGACUGGCACGUUAAAAGAAAGCGGCCCUCUUUUUCUUUUGUUGUUUCUCAUUUUGAUUUCUUCUUCCUCUCCACUACCUCUGAAAGGCAAGGAGUAGAAUGGGGCCCGCUUUUCGGGUCUACUUCUUACUCCCAGGCCACAUCAAAACAACAAUGCAGAAAUGCUGAAAGCUCCAGCUUCGGCACCACCUGAGAGCUUGUUAGAAAUGCAGGAUUUCAGGCUCCGCCCCAGGUCUAUUGAAUUAGAACAUGCAUUUUAACAAGACCUCAGCUGAUUCGGUUUGCUCGCAUCAGAGUCUUUUCCAUUGAGUUGGCUCUUGGCAUCAGGUGACCAAAGUAUUGGAGCUUCAGCUUCAGCGUCUGUCCUUCCAAUGAAUAUUCAGGUUUGAUUUCCUUUAGGAUUGACUGGUUUGGUCUCCUUGCUGUCCAAGGGACAAGGUAACCCCAGAGAUCAGAGCGGCUGCCCUGCACUGGUUUGGUCUAUGUUGCCACCUUGAAGAAGGUGUGGGAGUUUUCUGCCAGCAUCGUAUCUUUCUCCUGGAGACCAGGAAAGACUUGUGAUGACCCAGGAUCUGGCAAAGUCCCUGCCACUCAGAGGCGAUUCAUGUUUUCACCAGUGAUGCCGCCAGCUGACAGCCACCUUCAACUGCUAGACAGACGAGCCUUCAGAUGAUUCCAGCCUCCAGCCUUCAAGUCCUCUAGCUGAGGCCUGCAACACUGAAGGGCAGAGACAAGGAUUUUCCAGGCAAGAAUACUGGAGUGGAUUGCCAUUUCCUCCUCCAGGGGGCCUUUCUGAACCAGGGAUCAAACCUGCCUCUCCUGCACUGCAGAAGUUCAAUACCAAUGAUGAAACUAACACUAUAGAGUCUAUGGAAUUCUCCAGGCCAGAAUGGAGUGUGUAGCCUUUCCCUUCUCCAGGGGAUCUUCCCAACCCAGGGAUCAAACCCAGGUCUCUUGCACUGCAAGCAGAUUCUUUACCAGGGCACAGAGUUGUUCUACAUUUUCCAGCCUCCCUUGCAGUUUCUUGGUAGCUAAGUAUUGGCGGUGAAGUAACUGAAUUCUAGCUGAAGAAAUGAGCUUGGGCGUGAUGUGUUCCACUUCCAAGUCUGACCCAAGACCUUCAUGCUCUCUCCCCCACUGCCGACCUGAUGCAGAUGUAUGUGGCGGCUUGAAGUCACAUAUUGAGGCUGGUGGAACCACAGGAUGGAAGGAGUGUAGGUUCCUGAAUCCCUGCUUGGAGGAAAGCCAGCUGCUCAGCAGACUUUCGUGCAACUUUAGAUUGUACACGAGGAAGAAAUAAACUUUGACUGCUGGAG
ensembl:lncRNA